rnacentral:rRNA from 1 species
AGUGAACGCUGGCGGCGUGCCUAAUACAUGCAAGUCGAACGGAGAGGCGCACGGGUGAGUAAUAUAUAGCUAAUCUGCCCCUUGCUGGAGGAAAACAGAUAGAAAUGACUGCUAAUACUCCAUAGCAAGGGAUGAGACUAUAUCGGAUAAGCUAGUCGGUGUGGUAACGGCCUACCGAGGCUAUGACGAGUAACUGGUCUGAGAGGAUGAUCAGUCACCUUCGAACUGAGACACCAUCCAAACUCCUACGGGAUGCAGCAUUAGGGAAUUUUGCGCAAUGGGCGUAACCCUGACGCGGCAACGCCGCGUGGAGUAUGACACUUCUCGGAGCGUAUACUCCUUUUGUUAGGGAAGCGGUACCUACCUAAUAAGCACCGGCUAACUCCGUGCCAGCAGCCGCGGUAAUUC